rnacentral:lncRNA from 1 species
GUUAUGUUUUCAAAAUAUGUCACACAAUCUUUAAGAUUAUGUUUUGAAAUUAGUCCCCAUUCUCAAAGAGUAACUCACCGUCUCAAGGUUGAUUUAGAUCUGAUACACAUAGGCUUUUGGGCCAAUGUUUAGUUUCAAAUCAAGCCCUCUGACUUGGUGGAUCAGGGUGACUUGUUAAUAGUCAGGAUGGGCCUACGGGCUAGCCGUUGCAUCUCCUUUGGACCAUCUAGGUAAAGAAUCCAUGCUGGCUUCCAUAAAGCUCCCUAAGUUGGGUCUAUGACAAAAUAAUCUAUAUUUCUUCUGUUAUGAAUCAACGAAGAAGCGAGAGAGAUGCCUAUAUAUAUAUAUAUAUAUAUAUUCCUUUUUUUUCCUAUUACCAUUACAAAGAUUUGUUCUUCCUUGACCUAGAACUAGGACCCAAGAGAUACCUUCAAACUAAUUGGAUACUUACUUUGCAGAACUCCAAGCAAGGAAUCCAUCCACUACGGAGAAGGUACUCAAUUUGCUUGAGCAAAGCCUCGAUGGAGAGAGGCGGAAGGUAAGAGAGGGUCUCGAAC